GAUGAACGCUGGCGGCGUGCCUAAUACAUGCAAGUCGAGCGAAUGGAUUAAGAGCUUGCUCUCAUGAAGUUAGCGGCGGACGGGCGAGUAACACGUGGGUAACCUGCCCAUAAGACUGGGAUAACUCCGGGAAACCGGGGCUAAUACCGGAUAACAUUUUGAACCGCAUGGUUCGAAAUUGAAAGGCGGCUUCGGCUGUCACUUAUGGAUGGACCCGCGUCGCGUUAGCUAGUUGGUGAGGUAACGGCUCACCAAGGCAACGAUGCGUAGCCGACCUGAGAGGGUGAGCGGCCACACUGGGACUGAGACACGGCCCAGACUCCUACGGGAGGCAGCAGUAGGGAAUCUUCCGCAAUGGACGAAAGUCUGACGGAGCAACGCCGCGUGAGUGAUGAAGGCUUUCGGGUCGUAAAACUCUGUUGUUAGGGAAGAACAAGUGCUAGUUGAAUAAGCUGGCACCUUGACGGUACCUAACCAGAAAGCCACGGCUAACUACGUGCCAGCCGCCGCAGUAA
rnacentral:rRNA from 1 species